AUUCCGAUUUGUAGAAAAAAAAAU
rnacentral:miRNA from 1 species